rnacentral:pre_miRNA from 1 species
UAACCUCCGUAGGCUGGGGGGCCCCCAGGCUGGGUUGGGCGAGUAUCUCUUCGAAAGGCUCACCCUGAAGCACAAGUAGGGGC